GGGUCAGUUUGGCCACUGGGCUUUUUGAUGAAGUAUUGCUCUAUGCUACGAAAUCGUAUGCUGGCUGAUCCUUCCUUUCUUUUUAAAGUUGGGACAAAGAUAGUCAUAGAUUCUUGUUGUGCAACAUUUGCAGAAGUUCAAAAAAGGGGAAAGGAUUUCUGGGCUGAGUUUGAGUUGUACGCUGCUGAUCUUUUGGGGCAAUCUGUCAUAUCAGUGGAUGAUAAAUUGAAAAUCAUAGCCUGCAGGGAACAACAUAAGAAAUUAUCAGCUCUUCAGAUGGAGUUGGCUGCAGUUAGACAUGAGGGUUUUACUUCAAUGCGCUCCAUAGAGAUUAAUGGAACUGAUUAUAAGAGAAUGCCACUAGUGGUGAUUGGAAUUUUUACAACCUUUGGUCGCAAAAACAAUAGAGACACCAUUCGUAAGGCGUGAAUGGGAACAGGUGCUGCCUUGAAAAAAAAAUGGAGAAUGAAAAGGGAAUAAUCGCAUGAGGAUAAUUUGGCAUGCUCGAAUUGGAAAGCCAUCAGUAUCCCUAGGAUUAUUUGGAAGUUAACAACUACAUCAUUUUAUUUGCAUAAUAGAGGUAUCUUGUUAUUACUAGUAUCUGGGGCUGGUAGGACAAUGCUGAUCAGUGAUGCCGGGAAAUUUUAUGCCUUUGGAAAGGACUGAAGAUGGUUCUAUGACAUAGUAAUAAUGAGAUAGUUUUAUGACAUAGUAUAAACAAUGUACUUCUAUGAAAUGGUAUUAACAGUGUACUUCUAUGGAAUGGUAUUAACAGUGUACUUCUAUGACAUGGUAUUAAUAAUGUACUUUUAUGACAUGGUAUUAACACUGUACUUCGGGCUUGCCGGGCUUGUUUUGGGGGGUUUUUUUUUUUU